rnacentral:rRNA from 1 species
GGCGGACGGGUGAGUAAUGCUUGGGAAUCUGCCCAAUAGUGGGGGAUAACGUGUGGAAACGCACGCUAAUACCGCAUACGUCCUACGGGAGAAAGCAGGGGAUCUUCGGACCUUGCGCUAUUAGAUGAGCCUGCGUGAGAUUAGCUAGUUGGUAGGGUAAAGGCCUACCAAGGCGACGAUCUCUAGCUGGUCUGAGAGGAUGACCAGCCACACUGGGACUGAGACACGGCCCAGACUCC